AGGGGAAGCAACAGCGUGUAGAUACCCCGUUAGUCCUAGCCGUAAACAAUGGGCACUAGGUGUUGUCGGUAUCGACCCCGGCAGUGCCGAAGCUAACGCAUUAAGUGCCCCGCCUGGGGAGUACGACCGCAAGGUUAAAACUCAAAGGAAUUGACGGGGGCCCGCACAAGCAGCGGAGCGUGCGGUUUAAUUCGAUGGUACGCGAAGAACCUUACCCAGACUUGACAUGCAGGUGGUACCGAUCCGAAAGGUGAGGGACCCGCAAGGGAGCCUGUACAGGUGUUGCACGGCCGUCGUCAGCUCGUGUCGUGAGAUGUUGGGUUAAGUCCCGCAACGAGCGCAACCCUCGGGUCCUGUUGUACCUCUCAGGCCCGACUGCCGAGAGAAACUCGGAGGAAGGUGGGGAUGAUGUCAGGUCCGCGUGGCCUUUAUGUCUGGGGCUACACGCACGCUACAAUCGCCGGUCACAGCGGGUCGCGACACCGCGAGGUGAAGCUAAUCCCUUAAAACCGGCGUCAGUUCAGAUCGAAGGCUGCAACUCGCCUUCGUGAAGUCGGAGUUGCUAGUAACCGCGGGUCAGCACACCGCGGUGAAUAUGUUCCCGGGCCUUGUACACACCGCCCGUCACGUCAUGGGAGUU
rnacentral:rRNA from 1 species